UGGGGAAUCUUCCGCAAUGGGCGAAAGCCUGACGGAGCAACGCCGCGUGAGUGAAGACGGCCUUCGGGUUGUAAAACUCUGUGAUUCGGGACGAAAGAUAAGCAGACGAAUAAUCUGCAUAAGUGACGUUACCGAAAAAGCAAGCCACGGCUAACUACGUGCCAGCAGCCGCGGUAAUACGUAGGUGGCAAGCGUUGUCCGGAAUUAUUGGGCGUAAAGCGCGCGCAGGCGGCUACUUAAGUCCAUCUUAAAAGUGCGGGGCUUAACCCCGUGAUGGGAUGGAAACUGAGAAGCUGGAGUGUCGGAGAGGAAAGUGGAAUUCCUAGUGUAGCGGUGAAAUGCGUAGAGAUUAGGAAGAACACCGGUGGCGAAGGCGACUUUCUGGACGACAACUGACGCUUAGGCGCGAAAGCGUGGGGAGCAAACAGG
rnacentral:rRNA from 1 species